rnacentral:rRNA from 1 species
UGGUGGAGUGAUUUGUCUGCUUAAUUGCGUUAACGAACGAGACCUUCACCUGCUAAAUAGCUACCCGCACCCCGGUGCGGGGCCAGCUUCUUAGAGGGACUCUGCCUGCUAAGGGCAGGGAAGCUGGAGGCAAUAACA